CAAGUCCUCAACUUCGAAAACCGGUCUGUUUUAUCCCCCUCUACCCUUAACAGGAACCGGGGUGGUUUUGGUUGGUGUGGCGCCUAACUGUAAUGUUUUGUGUGUGCUAGUAUCAUGUCCAAGUGGACAAAAGCCGUUGAGUCGGAUUUCCAGAAAUCAUAUAAAAUAUGAGAAAUAAAAGAGAACUUUUAAAAUAAGAUAAUCAUGUGUAAUGGACAAAAGGGGUGAGGGUUUGAAAGAU
rnacentral:lncRNA from 1 species